UACAAGUUGGCAGAAUAAUGCAACUGGUUUAGGACCUGUUUAUGAAGAUUUUUCACUUGUUA
rnacentral:tRNA from 1 species